ensembl:lncRNA
CACUGUCCUGACUUGCCAUUAGUAAUGACUGGCACUGUAUUUCAAGAAAUUCUGGUGCCUUCCGUUAAGUGAUGAUAAGCGGAGCUCACCAGAGUCAGCAAGUUGACAGAGGACUCGAUCUGUUUUAGCUGAACCGUCUGAGCAUCUAAGAUUUUCAGCAAAGAUGUGGCCAGAUUGUUUAUCUGGUAUGUGACACUGGCCAGGGCCUGCGUGAUUUUAAAAGUAUUUUAAAUACAAUACAUAUCUCACACGAAGAAAUGUAUUUUUAUAACAUGUGAAUUAUGUACUUGCAUGUACUUAUUCCAUUUUAAAGAAUCAAAUUUAUCAAACAAAUCUAUCUGCCAAUGUCCUUUUUACUGUUUUUCAUCAGUGGUUAUAAGAUCAAACAUAUAUUUUUAAGAUAAGAGUUUAACUUACUAAUUUAAAUGAUCUGCACUAUAUUUUUAGCCUGAAACCCCUACUGAUUUCAUAUAUUUAUUUGAAUUUAUUAUGUUGUGACACCGAAGGAAGAGCCAAAAAUGGACAAUGAGGACUCUGUGUCUGUACAGCUUGGCACACAGGAGACCAGCACCUUCAACUGGUCUUUUUUGGGUAUCGCAGUUCCUCCUCCAUCAGUGCCUGACUGGGUGGGUUCCAGCGCCUCUGCUCCACCUGAUCUCUCUCCAGCCUCACCGCCUCCUAUACUCAUGUCUGACCGAUCCCCGUCUCUACCAGCCUAUCCUGACCUGUCCAUGCUGCCUCCUCCACCUCUCACAGAUGAAGAGAUGGGAGACGCUCUACCCCCACCUCCUCCUCCCUCUCCUCCUCCCCCUAGUUCUGUGUAUGGAGGUUCUUUGGUUCCCCCUCCACCACCUCCACCUGGCCAAAACACCUCAUUAACUUCAGCAAACCCUCCACCCCCACCUCCUCCAGGUAACAUGGCUAUUCCUCCUCCACCUCCUCCUCCACCUCCUCCAGGCAAUGUCCCUGUCCCACCUCCUCCACCUCACAUUCAGGCCAAGACGGCUGCUCCUCCUCCACCUCCUCCUCCUCCAGGCUCUUACAGUGGGUCUUCAAUACCUCCACCCGCACCUCCACCUCCACAAAAUGCCUCCAUGGUGCCACCGCCACCACCUCCUCCUACUAAUACCGGAGGAAAAUUUAUUCCACCACCUCCUCCUCCACCUCCCCCCUUUUGAAUGUUGAUUUUCAAUGUUAUUUUUAUGGAAAAGACUAUAUGACAUUUGAUGAGAUAAGAUGUUUUAAUGCUUUUUAUUAAAUAAUAUGAAAAAUUUCUUAUGAAUGUUUAUGGUAUGAAACAUUAAAUAAAGACAAUGUUUUGUAUAAAGUGUAUUACGUA